rnacentral:rRNA from 1 species
GACGUAGGGGGCCAGCGUUGCUCGGAAUUACUGGGCGUAAAGGGUUCGUAGGCGGUGUGGCAAGUCGGGAGUGAAAUCUCUGGGCUUAACUCAGAGGCUGCUUCCGAAACUGCCGUGCUAGAGUGCGGGAGAGGCGAGUGGAAUUGCAGGUGUAGCGGUGAAAUGCGUAGAUAUCUGCAGGAACACCCGUGGCGAAGGCGGCUCGCUGGACCGCAACUGACGCUGAGGCGCGAAAGCGUGGGGAGCAAACAGG